rnacentral:lncRNA from 1 species
UUUUUGAGAGAUCUAGAUAGGUAGAUGUUAUCCAUUUCGUUUAUUUCAUUUAGAAAUAAACUUGGCUGGGAAUGCGAAUCAACUAAGAUUCGAACUUGGGACCUGGAGUACCAACCACGAAAUCCUUUAUCACUUGCACUAGAGACGGUCGGUCGGUUAUGCAUAAAAAAUUUAACUAUCCAAUAUUGCGUUUGACAACCAUUGUCUCUGCCACUUUGGCUCAAUUUCUGAAAUAUACAUUUCAAUAGAGUAAUACAAACCCUAACCAAUUUACUGAAACUAUACUGCUAAAUUGAUUAAGUC